UGUGCAACCUGAUCAGUUUGAACUCUGGAAGAUCAAAUUAUUUAUUUAUUUGUUUGUCUUUCCUUCUCAAAGACAGUUAAUUACUGAAGCACCGAGAACAUUUUGUAUUCCUGCUUCGCGACUGUGCCUUGCAAAGCUGAGCCUAAUGAGAACAAGUUCUCACCCCAGUUCUGAACUUGCUGACUUCUCUGCUUGGAAACCCGAGCAAAGCGUCUGAACAUUGGGUGUAGAAGAGAUUGAGAAGAGUUUAGAGAUGGAUUAGAAAUGGAUACUGAGAUGAAGAAUUCCUAUUAAAUGGAUUCUACGAAUAAAGCUGUUGCAUAAUGGAAAGAAUGUUCACGCUGUGAUUGUCACAAUCCCCAGACAUGUGGGAGGUAUAAUCAUCUCAUGAAAGGCAUGCUCUUUUGUCCACUUUCAACUUGAGGAAAUUUUGCUGCAGAGAAAGGAGAUGCAUGAAGGGCUUCUUAGAAACUGCAGGCCGCUUCAGGAAUGGUGGCUCCUAUGUCCACUUUUCAGCUGUAACAUUGGGAAUCCUGGCUAGAGUACCUGAGGAUUCAUCUGAACUCCAUGGAAUCUGGAAGCCUGAUCAACAGACCAGUAAAUACCUAUGGCAUAGCUUGCUCAGGGGAGUCACCUCAGUAUUUAGGGCCACAGAGAAGCUGUAA
rnacentral:lncRNA from 1 species